AGGACGAACGCUGGCGGCGUGCUUAACACAUGCAAGUCGAGCGGUAAGGCUCCUUCGGGAGUACACGAGCGGCGAACGGGUGAGUAACACGUGAGCAAUCUGCCCUUCACAUUGGGAUAACCCCGGGAAACCGGGGCUAAUACCGGAUGCGACCACCGACGGCAUCGUCUGGUGGUGGAAAGUUCCGGCGGUGGGGGAUGAGCUCGCGGCCUAUCAGCUUGUUGGUGGGGUAAUGGCCUACCAAGGCUUCGACGGGUAGCCGGCCUGAGAGGGUGACCGGCCACACUGGGACUGAGACACGGCCCAGACUCCUACGGGAGGCAGCAGUGGGGAAUAUUGGACAAUGGGCGAAAGCCUGAUCCAGCAACGCCGCGUGAGGGAUGACGGCCUUCGGGUUGUAAACCUCUUUCGGGAGGGACGAAUGCGCCGCAAGGCGAGUGACGGUACCUCCAAAGGAAGCGACCGGCUAACUCUGUGCCAGCAGCCGC
rnacentral:rRNA from 1 species